GACGUAGGGCGCGAGCGUUGUCCGGAUUUAUUGGGCGUAAAGAGCUCGUAGGCGGUUUGUCGCGUCUGCCGUGAAAGUCCGGGGCUCAACUCCGGAUCUGCGGUGGGUACGGGCAGACUAGAGGUAGGUAGGGGAGAAUGGAAUUCCUGGUGUAGCGGUGAAAUGCGCAGAUAUCAGGAGGAACACCGGUGGCGAAGGCGGUUCUCUGGGCCUUACCUGACACUGAGGAGCGAAAGCGUGGGGAGCGAACAGG
rnacentral:rRNA from 1 species